UACGUAGGGCGCAAGCGUUGUCCGGAAUUAUUGGGCGUAAAGAGCUCGUAGGCGGCCUGUUGCGUCCGCUGUGAAAUCCCGGGGCUCAACCCCGGGCGUGCAGUGGAUACGGGCUGGCUGGAGGCAGGCAGGGGAGAACGGAAUUCCUGGUGUAGCGGUGAAAUGCGCAGAUAUCAGGAGGAACACCAAUGGCGAAGGCAGCUCGCUGGGACGGUAUUGACGCUGAGACGCGAAAGCGUGGGGAGCAAACAGG
rnacentral:rRNA from 1 species